UGGGGAAUAUUGCACAAUGGGCGCAAGCCUGAUGCAGCCAUGCCGCGUGUAUGAAGAAGGCCUUCGGGUUGUAAAGUACUUUCAGCGGGGAGGAAGGGGAGUAAGGUUAAUAACCUUAUUCAUUGACGUUACCCGCAGAAGAAGCACCGGCUAACUCCGUGCCAGCAGCCGCGGUAAUACGGGGGUGCAAGCGUUAAAUCGGAAUUACUGGGCGUAAAGCGCACGCAGGCGGUCUGUCAAGUCGGACGUGAAAAUCCCCCGGGCUCAACCUGGGAACUGGCAUUCGAAACUGGCAGGCUGGAGUCUUGUAGAGGG
rnacentral:rRNA from 1 species